ACAAAUCUAUAUAUACUAAUAAUGAAGUAACAAUAUAAAUAUAAAUAUAAUUCAAAUAUACUUCCUCCGUCCUGAAGAAUCCAUUUUCGCGACAAGUAAUUCGGCUCGGAAGUUAAUAUAUUGGAACCUUCAAGAGAUAUACUCGCUCAUUUGGUCUUGAAUAUGGAGACGAUACUCAGAAAUUUGUUUUCUCUUUUUCGUAUCACAUUCAAUUUCAUUUGGAUUAAACUCAUCGGCAUUGCUAGGUGGUUGCAUUGGCUCUACUUCUAUUUCUGUUGUUCACCAUCCAUAUUUUCAUUGGUUGCUCUAUUGACAAAAAACAUCAUCUGUAAAAUUUAGUGAUUCAAGUUAACAUUCAGCUAUCAAGAAGAACAUCUCUAAUCGAAGACUAGGUUCACAAAGUUGUCGUCAUUCCAAUGGAUAAUUCCCAUGUACACACAUAAAAAUUGAAGCCCUAAACCUAUGCAUAGGAUGGCUAGAUCAAUUCGUAAUUUUACCUACUCAGGAAAGAGAGGAUGAUCAGUAGAGGAUGCAAGCCGUUCAUGCGUGGAUCUAGUCGCCCCGCCCGCCGACGGCCGCACGUCCAGCCGCCAAUGGUAGUCGUGGCUUGCCGUCAGUCAUUCUCCGUGAUAUGCAAUCGUGGGGAGGCUGGCAGGUGGAGAGGCUAGACCCGUUGCUAUCGAGUAAAUCAUGCGUUCCUAGCUUUCUAGGCCUGGGCCUGUUGCUAAU
rnacentral:lncRNA from 1 species